AGAGUUUGAUCCUGGCUCAGGAUGAACGCUGGCGGCGUGCCUAACACAUGCAAGUCGAACGGAGUUCUUAAGGAAUGCGACUUCGGUCAAAUGACUUUUGAACUUAGUGGCGGACGGGUGAGUAACGCGUGAGCAACCUGCCUUUCAGAGGGGGAUAACAUUUGGAAACAGAUGCUAAUACCGCAUAAGAUUACAGUACCGCAUGAUACAGUGAUCAAAGGAGCAAUCCGCUGAAAGAUGGGCUCGCGUCCGAUUAGAUAGUUGGUGAGGUAACGGCUCACCAAGUCGACGAUCGGUAGCCGGACUGAGAGGUUGAACGGCCACAUUGGGACUGAGACACGGCCCAGACUCCUACGGGAGGCAGCAGUGGGGAAUAUUGCACAAUGGGCGAAAGCCUGAUGCAGCAACGCCGCGUGAGGGAAGACGGUUUUCGGAUUGUAAACCUCUGUUUUCGGUGACGAAUAAAUGACGGUAACCGAGUAGGAAGCCACGGCUAACUACGUGCCAGCAGCCGCGGUAAUACGUAGGUGGCAAGCGUUAUCCGGAAUUACUGGGUGUAAAGGGAGCGCAGGCGGGAUAGCAAGUCAGCUGUGAAAACUAUGGGCUCAACCCAUAAACUGCAGUUGAAACUGUUAUUCUUGAGUGGAGUAGAGGCAAGCGGAAUUCCGAGUGUAGCGGUGAAAUGCGUAGAUAUUCGGAGGAACACCAGUGCCGAAGGCGGCUUGCUGGGCUCUAACUGACGCUGAGGCUCGAAAGUG
rnacentral:rRNA from 1 species